rnacentral:rRNA from 1 species
UACGAAGGGGGCUAGCGUUGUUCGGAAUUACUGGGCGUAAAGCGCACGUAGGCGGACAUUUAAGUUGGAGGUGAAAGCCUUGGGCUCAACCCAAGAAUUGCCUUUGAUACUGGAUGUCUCGAGACCGGGAGAGGUGAGUGGAAUUCCGAGUGUAGAGGUGAAAUUCGUAGAUAUUCGGAGGAACACCAGUGGCGAAGGCGGCUCACUGGCCCGGUUCUGACGCUGAGGUGCGAAAGCGUGGGGAGCAAACAGG